AAAAAAAAAAAGACAACAGAACUUCGAAAACUCCACAGCAACCUGUUAGGGAGCGCAAGGUAGAGAAGAGCCCAUCUAAAAGAGAUUCGUAGGUUUCGUUUUCACCUAAUGUGGUGAACAACCAACAAACUUUAAAAAUCCACACAAUUUUUAAAAGAAUUAUAAUGACUGAAGCACAGCCAGGUUAGCCUAACUGGGAUGGAAAGAAUGCAAAAUGAAAAGAGACUUAGAUCUCUGAAGUUCUAUGGGCAGGAAGCAGCUAAGGAAACUCUUCAGUUGUAAUCAGAGUACACAUUUUUACAGAAAAGCAAAGAUGACUUAGAAGGCAGAACCAAGAGCUCAGAGGAUGGAUCAGACAGAGAAUCAUUCCCAGGAAGCAGCAACAGGCCCUAAUCAAGGAGCUAAAGACAGCCCAGGUGGAUAUCAGAAUUUCUAUGGACCAGCAAUCACUAUGUGCCUCCUGUCUUACGGAGGGAAACGUUUAUUGCAGUUAUCCUGUCACUGUCUUACCUUUAUAUACUGAAUUCAAGGAGAUCAGAUAACUUGGGUCUUUGGAUUGAGGUCUUCAGACUGAGAGGAACCAGACUUGGAAGAUGUAAUCAAGCAUCUGUACCCAAGGAGCCUCAGACUCAUCUUGACCUGAUUUAGAUGAUAAGAUCCUAGACUUUGUGUCAAUGCCAAAAUGGAGCAAGACUCUGGGGUCCUUGAGGGAAAGAAUGAGAAUAUUUUUCAUUGGGGAGGGGUAUGGAUCAUUGUGGCCAGAGGAAGGACUGAAUCUUUUAGAUCGUAUCUUCUGAGAGUAGCAACAACAUUAUCUAUCUCAUAUACUCUUCCAGAACAUAGCCUUGCCACUUCCUUAUCAACAUGUGGAACCUAACCCUUCUCCUCUCCAUUAAAUCUUAACUGGUUCCACUUGGAAUUUAUCAAUUGUGGUGGAAGUGACACUAUGUGAACUCUGAGGCUGCAUUCUAAAUGGCAGUGCAACAUCUACUUGGUUCUAUUGUGACACUUGCUUUGGGGGAAGCCAGCCAUCAUGUAAGAAAUCCAACAGCCUUAAGAUUACCAUGUUGAAGAGGCCACAUACAGGUGUCUUGGUAUAUAGUUCCAGAUGAGCUCAGCCUUCCAUCACCCCUGCCAAGGUGCCAGACAUGCAAGUGAAGCCCUCUUGAACUCCCCAAGCCAGCCCAUCUGCCAACUGAGUACCACAAAGUGAUCUCAGUUGAUGCCACAAGGAGCAAAACGUCACCCAGGUGCUGUGCUGGGGGCUGGGAGCCAAGGCUGAGCAACGGAUGUGGUCACUGUUCUCAUGGAAUCUGGUUUGUUCAGGAGCUGGAUGGUGAGCCUCUGAAAUGGUGAGCCGUUCCAUGGAGGGUGAUGAGAGAAAACCUCCAAAAUUGCAUACACUCCAUGUGUCACGCCACCUGGAUCCACCCUGCCUGCAGAGCUAACCAGAAGUAAAGGACCUUUUCCUCUAGGGGGAAAAGAAUCCUGUCAUCAAGGGAAGCAACCACAAAGGCUUGGAAAGCAGGAGACCAUGUGAAGAGGCGCAGAGUAAUCCCAAGAGAUCAGGCAAUGUAAACACCAGAGGCCUCGACAAAGAGAUUUAUCACCUUCCUGGGAAAUCCCAGACUAAAAUCCACUACGGCAGGAUGAAAGUUGAGAGUGUUUUGCCCUUAACCAAACCCUAAGAAAGUACAGAAAAUAUGAAUUAUUCAACAAAUGGCAUUGGGACAACUGGGCAACCAUCUGGCAAAAUGUUAAGUGGGAUCCAUUCUUCAUACAAGGCACAUAGCAACCAGGAUGAAUUCCAAAAGGAUCAAAGCUUUCAAUGUACCAAGUCAAAACUACAAAAAUACUAGAAGAAAACAUGGAAAAAUUAUUUAAAAUCUAGAGUCCGUAAAAAGAAAAGAAUGGCAAUCAGACUACAUAAAAUCCUUCCACGUGGUAAAAAAUAAUAAUAAUGGCAAUAUAAUGAUAAUAAGUAAAGUAAAAAAACUAACAAUAUUCUGGGAAAAAUAUUGGCAAUGUUGAGAUUACAACAUAAACGGCAAUCUCCCUGAGGCAUAAAAACGUCUACAAAUCAAUAAGAAAGAGACUCACCAACAACCCAAUUUUUAACAUGGGAAAAUUAUACGACUAGCACUUAACAGAAAAGGAAAAACAAAUGCCUCUAAAAUAUUUUGAAAGAUACACAGGCUCAUGUAGGAUAAUAAACAUAAAAAUUUUAAUUACUCUAUGUUCCCAUUUUCACCCAUCAUGUUGGCAAAUAUCUCAAAGUUUGGCAAGGCACAGUGUUAACAAGACAGUAGGGAAAUUGCUACCCCAUACAUUGUGGAUUUAGAGAUUGACUUGACAUCUAUGGAGGGCAACUUGGCAAUAUUUAGCAAAAUUACACACACACAAAUCCUUUUAACCAGCAAUUCUAUUUCUAGGUAUUGAUCUUAAAGUUAUUCUCACACACGUGUGAAUUAAUACCUGUUCAAUGGUAUUCAUUCAAGUAUGUUUUCAAUAGCACAAUAUUGGGAACAGCCUAAAUGUCCCUCUGUUGGGCACCAGUAAAAUAAAUCAUGCUCUAUUCAUUCACAGGAAAGCAGCUGACAACAGACAAACCAAAAACCUGUAGAAAUGCGCCUGUAAAAAAAGAAUCAAAAAGUGCUUUCUGAACUAAUACGAAAGCAACUGCAAGAAUAUCAGUAAAUAGGGGAAGAGGUUAAGGUCUAUAUAUUGUUAUUUGUUUUUAUAUGAUUUAAAAAAUAAUAUGCAAGAAACUAACAUCAGGUAUGGAUUCAGGCAGGGAGGAAGUAGGAGUCGAACACACAGGAGUUACCCUAUUUGUCAGGGUAGGAGUAGAAUUUUCACUACAUACUUAAAAAAAAUUUUUUUUGAACAAUGUGAAUAUAUUAUGUAAUCAAGGAAUUUACAAAUUUAAAAAAUUCUAACCUGAUGGACUUUGAAAAUAAUAUUUGCCUGAGUUCUAUGCCAUCAAAAAAACAGUCAAAUACUUCCUGUUGGUGGUGGCGUUAUCCAGGUGGCUAGUGAGAAGCUGUAGGCUGAGAGGCUCAGUGUGCAUCCUGACCUUGGCCCUAACCCCUCCGUAGUCCUGGACAAAUGGUUCAACACCGCUGGGCCUUGAAUGUUGGAGAAGAUGUGGGUAAGGCCUCUGCUGCUCUGAGGGAAGGCUAUAAAGAUUUAGCAAGCAGCUCUUGACGCCAUAGGUGCAAGAAUGAGCACAUAACAUAUGUGUAGGAAAUAAUAAUUAAUCCUCAAAGCAAUCCUGUUUUAUAAACAAGAAAAGUGAGACUUAGAUCAAUUUUAUGAUUUCCUCAACAAAUGACGUGGAACAGAUAAUUGAUAGAAGAUAAAAUAUAAAAGGUUAAUAAAUAGGAAAUGCUUUCCAUCUCCCUCCACUUACAAGGAAAAAUAGAAAACACAUUUACAAGACAGCGCCAGGGUCCUGGGUAGGGCAGAGCUGAGGGUCACCUGUGCAGAGAAUGGGCAUGACCUGGUGUGGCUGGGGCUUAUACAACAUCAAGUGGCUGGAGGCAAGCAGCAGGAGGUGAGACCACUGCCUGGAGGCCAGACGCCGAGAAGGCGGGCUUCCACCAAGCACAAUGGCCAUAGUCCCAAGUCAGGCUGUCACACUGGUUCCUCCUACGCAAAGAAGCAGGUGCUACAGAGUCUCAGAGUGCCCAACACCUCUCCCAGGGCAGGGGAGGUUGGCCAACAAGGCCCAUGGCUCUGUGAACUGGAAGCCAAACUGAACAAGGAGAGGCAGGGACAAAGCUGACAGCCACGCUUUGGCAGAACCCUCAAAUCUCUGCUGUGUCCACAGCGCCCUAAACCCACUUGUCUCUGCAUGGCCUGCUCAGGAGCCAUGAGUUCCAGGCACAGAGGGAUGAGGAAGGCAGUCUAUGGUGAGAAUCCAGAAGAGGCAGUGCAUUUGUUACCUUUGGCUACGAUACAAUGAGGUCUAGGGAGCUGAAGUCAUGAUCUGGACAAAAGCAAACUUGAUGGCCCAUAUCAAUAAAGUUCAUCAUUUUCCACUGUGACCGGGAUGGGGGUGGUGUCACCUCCAUCUCCAGUUCUCCAGUCCAACACACAACACAGCUGGGCAUUUUCUCCUCAUCAACCAUGCCCUUUGUCCUAAUAAGCCUCAAAACCAGGGAGAUGAGUGAUUCUCAGCAUCAGUAGUGGGGUAAAGACCAAUUCUCUACUAGAAACCUGGGGUCCACUCCAUCCUGGGCCCCUCAUUUCUCCCAGCCAGACUACAAGCUUGCCACCACUGCUUACUAUCUACGUUUGCCCACAGUCCACUCAACAAAUCCAUUCACAAUUGUGUCCCCACAAUUCCAUGUCACAGAGGGUCCCAACUCUGCUGAAUAUCAGAACCUCCUUCGAGUUCUUAAACUAGACUGAUGCCUGGCUCCCGCCCCUAGACUUAUGAUUUAAGUGAAGUGGGGUGGGACCUGAGCAUUGGGAUUUUUAAGAGCUCCCAGGAAACUACAUCUUAUUGCUGUCUUAUUUUCUUCCUUUGAAGAUCUCAUUAUCUGUCUUCAUAGAAAUUAUAAACUAAUGCAGGAGGCAGCAAAGAUUGUUACAGUAGCAAAUACCCAGCCUUUCAUCUACUAAAGAGACUUCUUAAUUGGCCACAGCUCAGGAGAGGAGGAUGAACUGACCCUGGGAUUCUGCCAGUUGGGGUUCUGAAAAUCCCGUCUCCAGGGAAACCCCUUAGUCCCAGACAAAUUGGGAAGAAUACUCACCAUAGCUCAGGCUAUCACAGUCAGCAGUUAAGAGAGUCUCAUCAUUUAGCAAUCAUUGAACACUUUUGUACAUAGAAGUUCAUACCUGACAUCAUGGAAAACAUCGUGAGGAAAGAAUGUAUCCACCCCUCAAAUGUAUUUCUGUCCAUGGUCCAUCAUCUCAGGACUCACUCACUUAACCAGUUCUUGGGCAUCUAAGUGCCAGAUUCCAUGCUGUCUACAGGAUUGACAAGAAGAGGCCACGCCCCCUGAGGAACAUGAGAGAGGCAUAAACAGAAGAUGAAAGCAGGAAACGGUGAGAUCAGGGCUAUCAUAGAGGAGGAGAGAGGUUCUGAGGAGCACAGCAUGCACCAGCUCUGCAGAAGGGGUCCUGGAGGUGUGAGAGCAGAGCCCACAUCUGACGCCCCUGUGAGGUAACGGUGAUGCUCCAGUGGGGCUUGUGGGUCGGAGCAGCAGGCUAAGUGAGGUAAGACACAGGCACCAAAGGGAGCCAGGGUGAGAUGGCAGUGGGUGACUCCUGGCAGUGUUACUCCAGAGCCCAGUUGUCAAGAACCAUGUUGUUAUUCACCAGAAAAAUGGAUUUUACUUCUCCUUUCUGCUAGUCACUGUAGGCCAUUGGGAUAUUGUGAUGAUCAGAAAGAUGCAGAGCCUGAACUCAGAAAGUUCAUGUUCUAGUGAGAUGGAAGGGACCUGUAAGAAAUAAUCUCAGGGCACGGGGACAAUGCUGCCAUGCAAGCUGUGCUGACAUUCUGGAUUUUAACUUACUGUAAAUAAGAAGCCAAGAAUUCUCAGAAAAAAAGACCUUAGCAAGGAACUUCAGAAAGACUCCUGAGCUGGAGAGGAAGAAAAUGCAAGUCCGUCGAAGCUGGAGCACAACACAUCUUAACUGGGAGGAGUAUGGAGCAAUAGAAUAUCCCCAGGAAAGGAUAUUUAGAGGGAUAUGAAGGGGAAGAAAGCAUCUAAGAAAGCUGAGAAGGAGUGACUGUUUAAACAGACUUCUAGAAAUGUUUUUAGGUUGUCAUUUCUCAAAAUAUUUUCAGUGAAGUAAAAUACCUUUCCUUCUUCCUGCUCUGCACGUCGCCAAGCGGCUGUUGGAGAAAAGCUGGGUAGCAAAGCUCGGAUGCCUUUCAUGUGAGGGAAACGUGCAGCUCCAGAGCCCCCAGCCCAGGAAAGCCUUGUCUCAUUGGCUGGUGUUCCUCGCUCUAUGAAGGCCUCCGGGCCAGCACAUAGAACACAUCAAAUGAGAACAAGGCUCGAUUUUUGUUCCCCUGCCUCACUCUGUCGGAAAAAUCCAAAACCUGCCUUGUGGAGUGAAAUCUCUCUUACCAGGUGGGAACCUUCUGAAUCCUCCGGCCAGGGUUUCAUUGCUGCCACUUGGCUCAGUCAGAUGCUUCCUAAGCACCUACUCUGCGCCGGGCCCGGUGCUCCCAUCAGACAGGACUCCCAGACGUGUCAGAAGGACAGAGACCAACAGAGCGAUAAACUCCUCUACAAAUCCAAAAGGACAAGCUCAAUGCUCCUCUCCUGGCCCAGCCCAUGCUUUCCUGUUUUAAUUAAAACAUGUUGAAUACCAGAAAGACAGGACAGUGUUGGACAGUGUUAGCCGCUCUACAAGCGGAAAUGUGAUGAGGUUAAUUACAUCAUCUAAAGAGGUCCUGACUGCCCCUUCCAGGCCUGUCCUCUAACAGUUUACCCCUGAGCGAGCAGUCAGUGAUAGCAGCUAAUCUCACACAACAGACACUGGCAAAGCAGCCACCAAGUUGAGGAUGGAAAGGGAAAAAGGGAAGUUAAAUGUGGAAAUGGUGGGUGGCUUUGAUGGUCCCACCAUAUUCAAAGAGGUGGUCCUUUGCACAGGGACCUCGUUGGUUUGCAGAUGAGCAUCUGAGGGAUGAUGGAAAGAUGCCUGCCAGGGAACAGGAAGGGAGCACUGACCAGGGCUGGGUGCAGCCUUAUGCAGAUUCUCAUUGCAUCUCCUUUCCACAGCACUAGCCCAGAUUGUGUCCUCUCUUACAACUCAAGUGGUAUCACGUCAAGAAUGGAUGAAACAAAAGGAGCAAAGCAGCUCCACUUCAGGUCAUUGCACAGGGUUGGGAGGAUGUCGGGGGUCCCUCGCCUACACUCAGCCCCAGGGUCUCAGAGCAAAUCUGCUAUGGGGGAAAGGGGGGUCUGCUAGAGCCCUGUCCACUCAGUGCCUUGCUUCCAUGGGCACUACAGGUCAAAUGGACUCAACGCCAAGGCCACCAGCAUCUGGGAUUCUGGAACAUUCCCACUUUCAACUGCCAACAGAUCUCCGCAGACCCACACACCAAGGUCUGCCUGAAGAAGGCUGUGGGGGAAAGCUGGAGGGAGGAGAACCUGUGAGGACUAGGGCUCCAAGAGGACAGGAGACUGUUCUCAUCCUACACCACCAGGCUAAGGUCCUGUCUCUCCCAAGCCACCAUUCCUGUGACCUCGAGCACGUUACUUAACCUCACUCAGCCUCAGUUCCCCCAUGGGUAAAAUGUGGAUGAUAAUCCCUCCUAUGGGGGUGGCUGUGGGGACUGAGGGUUGAUAUGCACAAGGUGCCUGACACACAGCAGGCACCAUAUGUGAUUGCAUGUCUCCCAGACACCCAUGAGCCGGCUACCUUAAAACCCAGUCUGGAGGCAGGCCGUCUGGGUGAAACCCUACCUCCACCCCUCCUGAGCCGUGUGAUCCUGGGUGAGCCGCACCUCCCUGAGCCUCCUUCUUAUAAAGCGGAAGUCAACCUCAGUUCCUAAGUCACAGGAAUAUGAGGAGGAUUAAAUUAGUUAUAUCGAACUAGUUACACAUAAAGUGCUUUGAAGAAUUUCUGGCAUACAGUAAGUGCUGAAUAAAGACUUGUCGCUCUUGUGAUUUCCAGAGUGUGCGGUCUUGUGAAGAGAGACCAAGAUGCCUGGCUUGGCCCAGCAGGUGAUUCUAUGGGCUGGGGGUGCCUGCUUACAAAUGCAGACGGCAAAGGAAGUUAAGGACCUUGUUCCCCAGGAAGUGUUUCCUCCAGUCCCUGCAGAGUACUGGGAACCGCUUCCUGGCUCCCCCACCAGAAGGGGAAAUGAAAAGUAGGAUUAAGAGCCGGCAUUUGAAUCUCUGCUCUCAGCCUGAGUGUGAAGGCAGCAGAACCCCAUCUUAAAAAAUCAAUAUCGAAUCAAGGAUAAUUUUUCCUCUACUAGAAAGAAACAAAAGUUAAUUCCCCUGGACUCCUGAGUCAUAACAUCAUUUGGGGAAGAACAUUUCCUUUCAUCUAUGUGCUCCCGCUACGCCACAUGAGCACUUCGGGCCCAGCCAGAAAUUAAUUCUUUGUCCUCUGAAAUCUAUACUAUUAUUUUUUUAUAACACGUCUCUGACAAAUGAACAAUCUUUGCUUUUGGAAAAUACAGCAUUAUUGAUGACAUAAGCUGUAAUAUAGUGGUGGUUGACCCUGUGAGCAUGUAGUUUGGAUAAAAGAAUGCCCGUAUGCUGUAGUUAAUAGGCAGAUUAUUGAGGUAAAAACCCUCCCAACCAGAAAGCUCGGCUCGGGAAAUGCUAACUCAUUCCUUUAAACCUCUUGAGUAAAACCCGCAUUUAAUGAAUAACUAUUACAUGCCUGUUUUUGUGGUAGGCAUUUUAGACAAAGGAUCAUAUUUAAUAAGUCCGCAAAGUAUAUAUCAUUGUCUCCAUUUUCCAGCAAAGAAACAGAGAUUUAUUGUGCAUUUUAAAAAACCUUGUUCAAACUAGUUUUCACACAGUCAGUAACUGGUUGGAUCUGGAUUUGAAGCCCGGUAUGUCUGGUCUCAGAAGCCACGAUCUUAAAUCACCAGGCCCUAACAAGGUCUUACAGAGCAUGCUGGUUAUUCACGAAGCAAGGAACUCUCAAUAGUUGAGCACUGGUUUGACCUACUUUUGUUAGUCUUUUGUCUCAAAAUUAAUCUUCCUCAAGGCAUAAAUUAAAAGUUUAAUUAUAACAAAUCCAAAUUAAUAUUCUUUUAAGAAUUUCAUGACAUUCAUAAGUUGAAAAGCUGGCCAGGUCUGGGAACCACUACAGAUAGCACGAAAUGAUAAUGAUGGCAACAACACUAAUUACAACACUUACAAUUAACCCAAGACCAGAAAUGUGUGUGCGUACACGUACACACACAUACACACACACACACACACACACACACACACAGAAGUCUGAAUUGAUAUUAUAAUAUCUUGCCAAGGAAAUGCUUGCAUUAUUGGCAAUCGACGUCCUUCACAAGAUCUCUGUGGGACAGACGGUCUCAUUGUCUAUUGACAGCUUGAAAACAGAAUUUCUUCAUUCACUCAGCAAGCAGCCCAGGCCCUGUUCUAAACCUCAGGGACCCAGCAAUAAACAAAACAAGCAAAACCCACAGCUCUCCUGUAUGCUACAGUCCAGCAGAGAGAGACAGACAAAAAGCAAAACAAGUCAAAAUAGACAGUGUGUUAGAUAGUAUGAUGGUUAAUUUUCUGGGUCAACUUGAUGGGCCGUGGGGUGGCCAGAUACUUGGUCAAACGUUAUUCUGGGUAUUUGCGUGAGGGUGUUUUUGGAUCAGGUUCACAUUUAAAUCCAUAAACUGAGGAAAGCACAUUGCUCUCCCCAAGGUGGGUGGGCUUCAUGCAAUCAGUUGAUAGCCUGAAUAGAACAAAAAGGCUGAGUCUCCCCAAGUAAGAGAGCAUUCCUCCUGCCCGGCUGCCUUCAGACUGGAACUCUGGCUUUUUCCUGCCUUCAAACUCGAAUGAAAACAUCGGCUCUUCCUGGGUCUUGAGCCCGGUGGGCUUCUGACUAGAACUACACCACCAGCUCUCCCGAGUCUCCAGCUUGCCCACUCACCCUGCAGAUCUUGGGAUUCAUCAGCCUUCAUGUUCUCAUGAGCCAAUGCCUUACAUAAAGUAUUACAUGUAUCUUAUAUAUAUGUAAACCCAGCAGAUUAAUACAAAUGGUUAUAUGGGAAGCGGGAUGGGGAAUGUUUGCGUGUUGAAAUUUGUAGUAAAGUGGACCAAAAAAGGCUGACUGAAAAGAAGAUAUUUGAGUAAAAACCUGAAGGAUUUGAGGAAGUAAGCCAAGCGAAUAUGAGGGAGAAGAGCAUUUAGGCUGAGGGGACAGCAAGUACAAAGGCCCUGAAGUAGGUGCAUGCUUGGGAGAUGUAAGGAGUGGCAAGGAGGCCAGGACAGCUACAGUGGAGUCAUGAGGUCAGGGGUGACAGGUCACACUGGCAUCUGAGGCUGCUGUAGAAAAGACUCGUGUACAAAUCAGUGUGUUUGCGUGUGUUUCUGAAGCUUCCAGGAGAGAUUUGGGACAGCUUACAAAGUUAAUUACAAUAAAAUAGCAUGCAUUAACAUGGGAUCAAAAGAAAACAAGAAAAUAAAGAAGGAUGGAAAUAACCUGGAGCCGGAACCUAACUAGAAAUCACAUAUGGUCUCCACAUCUCCAACAGGUGAGCCUCACUGGGCUCUCGACCUCCUGGGAGUUGGCACCAAGAGGGACACGCUGCUAGUCACCACAUUCCUUACGUCCAGAAGAUGCGCACAAACAGGUACCUCUGGGGGAUUGCAACUGUUUUUGGCAUUAUAAUCAGAAAAGACUGUUUCCUGGGGGAUCAUAAACCCAGGCUCAGUGAAGCAAAGUGGCCAACAGCAUCACUAGCAGCAUCCUUGCAAUGAAUGCAGACAGCAGCUUUCCAGAUGCUGUCGCUUAGGUGGCAAAGCACAAGGUGAUCAAACCAGUCCUGCCAAGGGCUCAGGGAGGGCUGGGCAUUUAUGGGUGGCACCUUCAGAUGCCCAGACUGACUUCAGAACGUAUUUCAUAAUAUCAAGAAGAGAGGAGAGACCUCUCAUCCUUUAUGUAAUCCUCACUGAAUGGAGUUUCUUGUGGCUGAUCUGUGGACAGAAAGAGCAAUGGUGGACUCGAGACUGUCCUGGACUGCCCAGCUGACUCCUGGAGUGUAGCUCCCUGCUUGCCAGUCGAGUCGUAACCUCUGAGACUUAGCAGGAAAUAGAGCCAGGCAGAGGUGACAUCCUUUGGUAGAAGCCACGGGUCUUUAUAGGAAUGUGUGUCAUGAGGGAAGCUGAAGAUUGUCAUUGGUGGGGGCAGGAAUCCCCUCAGAAAACGGCCUCGAGUCUGCUUCAGGGCACAGACAAAUGAGCAAUCCGGGACUGACCGGAUGUUCCCUUCCAUCUAGCAUGGCCAGAAUCAUUUCAAUCCAAAAAAUAUAUAAAGCCAUUGCCACCAGCCACUUGCUUCAGCCAAAAUAAAACUUCCCAAGGGCACCCAGAGAAGUGAGCCUUUGAGAAUGGAUAGCUAGACCAGGGCACACCAGGAGAUCCCGUCAUGUCGGGGGGGUUGGCUAGCUGAGGUUGGGGUGCCCCUGGCAUCAGCGGGGUGAGAGCCUGUUAAGAAUAAGAGAAUGCAGUGUUCAAUUUCCAUGUGGACUCCUGUAUGGGGCUAUGCUGUAACUGCCCUCUGUCUUUUCAAACCUUCUGUAAAAUCUGCUGCAGAUGAAAAAGAGCUGGGAAACAUCUAGCAAAGAGAAUAGCAUACAUUUUAGGAAAGUUGAAGAAAUGGAGACCUUCUGUUGGAAGAACUCUUUCGGAGGGUUUAUUGUCUGACGAAGAAUUUAAUAGAGAACAUGCCAGCUCUCUCUCAAAGAGUUUUUGACUCUCACCUCGGGAGCAGAGUUCGCGCUUAACUGUUAGCAUAUGUAUACACAUCAAACCCAAGCUCGAACGAUACCAACCAGUUCUCAAACCCAUAACUUACAGGCAGACUCCACAGCACCUUAGACGUGGCCAUGGACGCUGAUGGGAAAAGGGCAAACCUCUAAGGGAGAGACUGGGGAACCGCAGAGGACAUGGGUCAAGGAAGCUUUCCCAGGAGAACAGAACCGGGUUCAGCUCCAGGAACUUCGUCCACUGCGAGAGCCAAGAGCUCACGAGGGCUUCCCUGUGGACUCAGCAUUGCUGCUGCGUGCCUCCCUCUCUUCCUUCUCCUGGGAGGAAGCGCUCCCUGCAUUUACCCUAACCCAGUUUUAGGACUGUGCAUGAGGUGGCUCUGGGGACACGGCUGCAGACAACCAGCGGUAUCAGCUCGCUUGUUUUAGCUCCCGAGCUGCAGGAGCACAAGCAGCCUCAUCGUAAGCUGAUGGAGUCCAGAAUUUCUGGCCUUUGGACCAGAUCCAGACACCAGAUGGGAUGUUAGGCUAGUCCCCUUUGAGGAUGAGGUGCAUAUGUUCUGAGUGAGGGAAGAAAGAUGACACAUUACAAUGGUGACCAGAAGGGCUAACUGUGGCAGGGCAUUGUCGCUGAUUGCCACAUUCUUUUUCUUUUCUCUCUGAUCACACAGUUGGACUGCAUUUCCAGCCUCACUUCCAUUUGAGCGUGGCCGUGUGACUGAAUUCUACUCAAUGAGAUGUGACAGGUGACACUUCUCGGCCUGGCAACAGUUCUCCAUGGGGACCCCCAUGCUCUGCCCCAUCUGUAGAUGGGAUAUUCUCACCCAGUGUUGCUUUGGGACCAGUCAUUCAGUCCCGGGCCCAGAAUGAUGGAGAGGAGCAGAUCACACACACACACACACACACACACACACUAGCGAUCAGGAAACACUGGUUGUGGAUUUUAUGUGAAUGAGAAAUAGACCUGACUGGGCUGGAGAAGCUUUUAAACUCAGAGGCUAAAUAUUCAGGUAAGGAAUGCCCUAUGCUGGUAUCAUAACACCCCCACACCUUCAUGGAAACCCUUGCUUCAGCAACAGCCCUGUGUUCAGGUCACUUUUGUAGAUCAAAGGAAAAAAGUCUGGUUCCAUAGUGGUUCAGGGCAACACCAAGGAAAGAGACCCACAGGAGGAGAUAAAAGGAGCGUGAGAUGAAAUCCAUGGAGGCGGGAAAGAGACGAGAAUAAUGGGCGACUGGGAGGAAGCAAGCGUCCCGAGAUGCCCAGAACCCCUGGUGUGCGGCAGGGGGAGGUGUGGGGUUCCCACUGCAAUGUAGAUGAGGACUCAGCCAUUUUGACAUAUUGACGUAUUGAUGGAAGCAUGACCUCCAGAGUCUGAGGCUUGCAGGCUGAAAUGAAAUAACUGUCUCGACUGGUCCCCAAAGACAGGGAAGGUGACUGCCUUUUUCUCUGUUCCUGGUGUCUAGUGUGGUCAGUAAGGAAGCCCCGUUCGACUUUACAGUGAAGCCUCCAGUACUCAACUCUCUAUCACCACAACUACCACCACCCCCAAGACUUCCAAACCCUGGAAUCGAAUUGGGAGAUUUGUCUGGCUCAGGGCAAAAACAGUAGACAGAAGAUUAGCUCCCUCCAAUAAAGGAAAAAGAAACAUGGCCGUGAAAGGGCAUCAAACAAGUGCACACACAUACACAUACAACACAUCACACUCACACCACACACACACACACACACACACAUGUGCACUCUCCCUGGCCCAACUACACAAUGCUACAUAAAAUGAAAUAUUUUUUUGUAAGUUAUUCCCCCGAGCAAUCAUCUUUCCCAAAUCACAGAGGCAUUGAGUCCCGACUCACGGGUAGAAAGCUGCCUAGAUCAAUGAUCAGCCUAAAGGACAUGUUUUGUGUUUUUUUUUAUUUAAUGCUGCUUUUACAUCAUUUGCCAAACAACCGUUCGGCCCCACCAUGUGCCAGCCAUCGCGUUAGGCAUUUGAGAAACUGGCUGUAGAGGAAGUUAUCCCAUCCUCGAAGGACUUUGCAACUCGACUGCGGUGGCCACCUUCCAGUGGUCACUCUGGCCUCAGGUCCAAGAUGAUCCCCUCCCUGGGGCAUCACUCCACCUAGAGUUGACGUGACAAUCCUGCCUCUUUUCCAAUGGCUCCAUAGCCUACCCGCCUGCAGGCAUGCUGUUCUCCAGAGCAAAGUAGGGGCAGCAGUGGGCUCACAAAGGCAAAGGUGGUCGCCA